AGUUGGAGCAGUUGGACGGUCAACCACUGAAAGUCCUGAAGCCCAACAUUUCGGUGAAGCCCGACCGUCAACUGUCCGAGCCACCCAAGAGGAUCAGUCUGAUUCUCUGUGCUCUGAGUCGGAAAGACACCAGCUUGAGGUGGCUUGCAUUGGACUGGAGGAACAGGAGCAGGUAAGUCCAGGCCCUGGACUAGAAGACACUAGUGAGGUUCUCAUCACUAGUGUCUAACAGGCACAGGUAAGGCCAGCUGCUCUUUGUGGCCGGAUGGAGGACCUUCGGGGGGUCAUUCGUCCGUCACACUCCUGGUUAGACAAUUUUACAAUUGAUCAUGCUC
ensembl:lncRNA